rnacentral:rRNA from 1 species
GACGAACGCUGGCGGCGUGCUUAACACAUGCAAGUCGAACGGAAAGGCCCUGCUUUUGUGGGGUGCUCGAGUGGCGAACGGGUGAGUAACACGUGAGUAACCUGCCCUUGACUUUGGGAUAACUUCAGGAAACUGGGGCUAAUACCGGAUAGGAGCCCCUGCUGCAUGGUGGGGGUUGGAAAGUUUCGGCGGGUGGGGAUGGACUCGCGGCUUAUCAGCUUGUUGGUGGGGUAGUGGCUUACCAAGGCUUUGACGGGUAGCCGGCCUGAGAGGGUGACCGGCCACAUUGGGACUGAGAUACGGCCCAGACUCCUACGGGAGGCAGCAGUGGGGAAUAUUGCACAAUGGGCGGAAGCCUGAUGCAGCAACGCCGCGUGCGGGAUGACGGCCUUCGGGUUGUAAACCGCUUUCGCCUGUGACGAAGCGUGAGUGACGGUAAUGGGUAAAGAAGCACCGGCUAACUACGUG